CCUGCUUAGUUUAAGGAUAUCAACAAGUGGAGGAAAAGAAACUAACAAGGAUUCCCUUAGUAACGGCGAGCGAACCGGGAAGGGCCCAGCUUGAAAAUCGGACGUCUUUGGCGUUUGAAUUGUAGUCUGGAGAAGCGUCCUCAGAGACGGACCGGGCCAGUGUUCCCUGGAAAGGGGCGCCAGAGAGGGUGAGAGCCCCGUCGCGCCCGGACCCUGUCGCACCACGAGGCGCUGUCUACGAGUCGGGUUGUUUGAGAAUGCAUCCCCAAUCAUGCGGUAAAUUCCGUCCAAGGCUAAAUAUGGGCGAGAGACCGAUAGCGAACAAGUACCACGAGGUAAAGAUGAAAAGGACUUUGAAAAUAGAGUCAAAGACUGCUUGAAAUUGUCGGGAGGGAAGCGGAUGGGGGCCGGCGAUUCAUCCCGGUCGGAUGCGGAACAGAGCAAUCUGGUCUGCCGAUCGAUUCGGGGCAUGGACCUACGCGGAUUAAGGUGGUAACCUAAGCCCGAGCUUUUGUUAUGCCCGCGGAGACGUCGCUGCCUUGAUCAUGGUCUGCAGCACGUGCCCCACGGCGUGUGGAACAUCCCGGAUCCUGAAUAGGAUCAUUGGGACGGCCAUGGUUCGAGGAAACGUACUAGCCAGUCUUAGGAAAUCAAGGCAAGCGUUCCAUGGCCAGAUGAGAAGAUUAAGGACGUAAGGAAACUUAGACUUAACCUUAUGCAAGUCGAGAGUCAGCUAGACCGAGCAAGACGGUAUCUGGACGGAUGGAACGGGUAGCUCGACCAGGUCAACGGAGUUAGGUUAAGCUCACUCCAGCUCGGCCACUACAAGGUCAGCUCCACUAGCUGGACUACUAGCUCCCUCAGCUGAGGCAGCUGGGGGUCAGCUCAUCUCAGCUGGAUAGACUGUUCGGGUUUCGGUCCGAUGGUCCGGGUCUGGGCCGGUGGCGGGCCAUGGAGGUCCGGCCAUGAGGCCAUGAACCGUUGGGGCUUGGGACAAGGCCGUGGGCUAAGUCCAGAGGGGUUGGGUAAGGCUUUGGGCUCUGUCCGACCCAAACCCAUGCGGUAUUGGCGAAAGGACUCAUGCGGCCGAGAGCGUGUAACCCUUGGUCGAUUGUGUCCAUCCGCUGGCCAGUCAUGCCUGUUCGUGGGGCAAGACUUACCCCCUCGUUUUCUAUAAAUAUGGGGUCCUCCCUGUCGAUUUCAUUCAUCCAAUCCAGGGUAAAUUACUCAAAGAAAUUGUAGAGAGAGAGAAAGAAAGAAAGAAAGAAAGAGAGAGUUUCCAGCCAAAGCAAGGCCGAUUGUGUGGUGGUUAGGUUUCCGGCGAUCUGAUCGUUUGUGAAGCAACCUCCGAUCAAGUAUGGGAGACCAAGAGCAAGAGAAGAGCGUGGAGAGCCCUGACCUGGUUCAGAAGGUACGUGGUGGGCUAUGGCCGCAUCAGUCCGAACGGACGGUCCUUGUGACCGUACCGCGGCUCCGGACGGUUCAUUAGACCUGACCGCUUCUCCUCUUCUUGUUUCUAUCCGGUCCUUUCUCUUCUUUCUGAUUAUGCACGAAGAGUUUUGUUGGUUCAGUCCAAGGGACACGUCCCUAGGCUUGGCCGGACAUAACCAAACUGCUAACCUGGACGCUGGUCGGUUAGACGGUCAGUUCGAAUCGCACCAUAGACUGGGCGGUUGGGCGAAACGGUUGGGCAUGUCCCAAGAGGCACGAGUGGCCAAAGGUCACGAGUUACCAAGGGUUGUGAGUUGCCAAAGGGUGUAAGUAACCAAGGGUUACGGACGCCAAGAGGUACCAAGGACCGAAGGAGUGCAUGUUCCAAACGGUGCCUGUUAAGACAGGUCGUGUCCGUUCCUUAGGGAUCAGACCAUGUCUUGUCCGUUGAGACAAGUACACGGUCUGUCCAGGCCACGGUAAGAGUCGCAAGGUCCGAUCGGCCAUUUGGCCUAACCGGAUUGGGCGUGAGGCUUACUUGGCCGUUGGAUCCAGGCCCAAGGCCAGAUCAGGUAAGGAAGUCCGUUGGGCCAUUGAGCCGGACUUCACUAGGCCGGUCGCACCUAGAUUCUAUCCGUAUGGACGGAUUGGUCUUCGGGACGAUCCGGACUGUUCGUGUGUUCUGUUUAUCUAUUCUGGACUGUCUAUCUGAUUCUAAGUCAAGGGGUGGUUGGUUGAACGAGUUAGGAUACGGUAGGCAGGUUCAUAUCUUUUUUAUAAGUAUAUUGUCUGAGGUUUAUCUAUGUUCUAGGAACCACGCCAAGCAUUGUAGGAUCGACCAUUCCUAUUCUCGGUUAUGAUUAAUGCUUACCUGGUUGUGGUUGCAGGAACUAAGGAUGGUUAUGGUCAAGCCAAGGAGCCGUGAAGGCUCGGUCAGUGAGAGGGUGUGUAACGUGUGGUUAGAUGAUGCUAGGGACGAACUAGUGAUUGUCUAUGAAACGAUUAAGAAGUUGUGUAUUGGAUCUCAUGUUUCUAAGUAAUACAUUUUAUACACAUUUAUAUUCUGCUG
rfam:Brassica napus, WGS project CCCW01000000 data, contig: 17254